rnacentral:rRNA from 1 species
CCUACGGGAGGCAGCAGUGGGGAAUUUUGGACAAUGGGCGCAAGCCUGAUCCAGCAAUGCCGCGUGAGUGAAGAAGGCCUUCGGGUUGUAAAGCUCUUUUGUCAGGGAAGAAACGGUCUACUCUAAUACAGUGGGCUAAUGACGGUACCUGAAGAAUAAGCACCGGCUAACUACGUGCCAGCAGCCGCGGUAAUACGUAGGGUGCAAGCGUUAAUCGGAAUUACUGGGCGUAAAGCGUGCGCAGGCGGUUAUAUAAGUCAGAUGUGAAAUCCCCGGGCUCAACCUGGGAACUGCAUUUGAGACUGUAUGGCUAGAGUGUGUCAGAGGGGGGUAGAAUUCCACGUGUAGCAGUGAAAUGCGUAGAUAUGUGGAGGAAUACCGAUGGCGAAGGCAGCCCCCUGGGAUAACACUGACGCUCAUGCACGAAAGCGUGGGGAGCAAACAGGACUAGAUACCCUGGUAGUCCACGCCCUAAACGAUGUCUACUAGUUGUCGGACUUAUUGUCUUGUACGUACAGCGUACGACGUGAGUAGACGCCGCGGGUAAGGUACGGUCGUUCGAGAGUUAAACGUUACGUAAGAAGUUAGAGGCGNGAGACGNGCGACGGACGACGACGAGGGAGGAGG